rnacentral:rRNA from 1 species
GAUGAACGCUGGCGGCGUGCUUAACACAUGCAAGUCGAACGAUGAAGCCCAGCUUGCCGGGUGGAUUAGUGGCGAACGGGUGAGUAACACGUGAGUAACCUGCCCUUAACUCUGGGAUAAGCCUGGGAAACUGGGUCUAAUACCGGAUAGGAGCGUCCACCGCAUGGUGGGUGUUGGAAAGAUUUAUCGGUUUUGGAUGGACUCGCGGCCUAUCAGCUUGUUGGUGAGGUAAUGGCUCACCAAGGCGACGACGGGUAGCCGGCCUGAGAGGGUGACCGGCCACACUGGGACUGAGACACGGCCCAGACUCCUACGGGAGGCAGCAGUGGGGAAUAUUGCACAAUGGGCGCAAGCCUGAUGCAGCGACGCCGCGUGAGGGAUGACGGCUUUCGGGUUGUAAACCUCUUUCAGUAGGGAAGAAGCGAAAGUGACGGUACCUGCAGAAGAAGCACCGGCUAACUACGUG